rnacentral:rRNA from 1 species
GUAGGUGGCAAGCGUUGUCCGGAAUUAUUGGGCGUAAAGCGCGCGCAGGCGGUUCUUUAAGUCUGAUGUGAAAGCCCACGGCUCAACCGUGGAGAGUCAUUGGAAACUGGAGAACUUGAGUACAGAAGAGGAAAGCGGAAUUCCACGUGUAGCGGUGAAAUGCGUAGAGAUGUGGAGGAACACCAGUGGCGAAGGCGGCUUUCUGGUCUGUAACUGACGCUGAGGCGCGAAAGCGUGGGGAGCAAACAGGAUUAGAUACCCUGGUAGUCCACGCCGUAAACGAUGAGUGCUAAGUGUUAGGGGGUUUCCGCCCCCCUUAGUGCUGCAGCUAACGCAUUAAGCACUCCGCCUGGGAGUACGGCCGCAAGGCUG